UACGUACGAGGCGAGCGUUAUCCGGAAUUACUGGGCGUAAAGCGCGCGCAGGCGGAUGUUUAAGUAGGGCGUGAAAUCUCCCGGCCUAACUGGGAGGGGUCGCCCUAGACUGGGCGUCUUGAGGACAGCAGAGGUGGGUGGAAUUCCUGGUGUAGUGGUGAAAUGCGUAGAGAUCAGGAGGAACACCGGUGGCGAAGGCGGCCAGCUGGGCCAACCCUGACACUGAGGCGCGAAGGCGUGGGGAGCGAACGGG
rnacentral:rRNA from 1 species